rnacentral:rRNA from 1 species
GAUGAACGCUGGCGGCGUGCUUAAUACAUGCAAGUCGAGCGAACAGACGAGGAGCUUGCUCCUUCGACGUUAGCGGCGGACGGGUGAGUAACACGUAGGUAACCUACCUAUAAGACUGGGAUAACUUCGGGAAACCGGCGCUAAUACCGGAUAAUAUUUUGAACCGCAUGGUUCGAUAGUGAAAGAUGGCUUUGCUAUCACUUAUAGAUGGAUCUGCGCCGUAUUAGCUAGUUGGUAAGGUAACGGCUUACCACGGCAACGAUACGUAGCCGACCUGAGAGGGUGGUCGGCGGCACGGGAGCGUAGACACGGUCCAUACUCCUACGGGAGGCAGCAGUAGGGAAUCGGCCGCAAUGGGCGAAAGUCUGACGGAGCAGCGCGACGUGAGUGAUGGAGGUCUUCGGAUCGGAAAACUCUGUUAUUAGUGAAAAACAAACUUGGAAGUAACUGUGCACGUCGUGACGGUAACUAAUCAGAAAGCCACGGCUAACUACGUG